rnacentral:rRNA from 1 species
GUUUCGGCGGCCAUAGCGAGAGGGAAACGCCCGGUCACAUUCCGAACCCGGAAGCUAAGACUCUCUGCGCCGAUGGUACUGCAGGGGGGACCCUGUGGGAGAGUAGGACACCGCCGGACUUCUUUGUGAGAUGGCCACCCAGUGAUGGGUGGCCAUUUCGC